ACAUCUCCGGGAAUACCCUGUUCCUAUAUCCGUCUCCCGCGUUCUUCAGACCGAAAAUUCAUCUUCUUCCACUUCCGACUCUUUUCUAUGCAACUCCGACCGCUUAUUCUACGAUGAUUUCAUUCCGUCUUUGCCUCUCGACCACCAGCUCCACCCCAAUCAGAUCUAUUUCAUCCUUCCUUCCUCCAACCUCCACCACCGAUUGACCGCCCCUGAUAUGGCCGCCUUAGCCGUCAAAGCCACCCUCGCCCUCCAGAAUGCCUCCACCAACAACCUC
rnacentral:lncRNA from 1 species